CUGUGGUCAUGAAGAACAAAUAAAGCAACUGCAGCAGGCGAAUGAUGAUCUGAAACGUAAAAUAGAGGAUCUGGAAAACAUGACGGACAUUCAGAAGACCGUGCAAACACUCAAGCGAAUUGUCAGAAACAUGAAGGUUUCUCAGGAGGAACGUCCUGUGCUCGCGCCGAACCAGGUGGACCUGGGAAGCGGCGUGUCCGUAUCCAGCGCGACGCUUAC